AUCAUUCACAAUGGGGGAAACCCUGAUGGUGCGACGCCGCGUGAAGGAAGAAGGCUUUCGGGUUGUAAACUUCUUUUGUCAGGGAAGAGCAGAAGACGGUACCUGACGAAUAAGCCACGGCUAACUACGUGCCAGCAGCCGCGGUAAUACGUAGGUGGCAAGCGUUGUCCGGAUUUACUGGGUGUAAAGGGCGUGUAGCCGGGGAGACAAGUCAGAUGUGAAAUCUGGAGGCUCAACCUCCAAACUGCAUUUGAAACUGUUUCUCUUGAGUAUCGGAGAGGUAAUCGGAAUUCCUAGUGUAGCGGUGAAAUGCGUAGAUAUUAGGAAGAACACCAGUGGCGAAGGCGGAUUACUGGACGACAACUGACGGUGAGGCGCGAAAGCGUGGGGAGCAAACA
rnacentral:rRNA from 1 species